rnacentral:rRNA from 1 species
GAAACUGGGUCUAAUACCGGAUAUGACCUCCUAUCGCAUGGUGGGUGGUGGAAAGAUUUAUCGGUGCAGGAUGGGCCCGCGGCCUAUCAGCUUGUUGGUGGGGUAAUGGCCUACCAAGGCGACGACGGGUAGCCGACCUGAGAGGGUGACCGGCCACACUGGGACUGAGACACGGCCCAGACUCCUACGGGAGGCAGCAGUGGGGAAUAUUGCACAAUGGGCGAAAGCCUGAUGCAGCGACGCCGCGUGAGGGAUGACGGCCUUCGGGUUGUAAACCUCUUUCAGCAGGGACGAAGCGCAAGUGACGGUACCUGCAGAAGAAGCACCGGCUAACUACGUGCCAGCAGCCGCGGUAAUACGUAGGGUGCAAGCGUUGUCCGGAAUUACUGGGCGUAAAGAGUUCGUAGGCGGUUUGUCGCGUCGUUUGUGAAAACCAGCAGCUCAACUGCUGGCUUGCAGGCGAUACGGGCAGACUUGAGUACUGCAGGGGAGACUGGAAUUCCUGGUGUAGCGGUGAAAUGCGCAGAUAUCAGGAGGAACACCGGUGGCGAAGGCGGGUCUCUGGGCAGUAACUGACGCUGAGGAACGAAAGCGUGGGUAGCGAACAGGAUUAGAUACCCUGGUAGUCCACGCCGUAAACGGUGGGCGCUAGGUGUGGGUUCCUUCCACGGAAUCCGUGCCGUAGCUAACGCAUUAAGCGCCCCGCCUGGGGAGUACGGCCGCAAGGCUAAAACUCAAAGGAAUUGACGG